rnacentral:rRNA from 1 species
CCAGACUCCUACGGGAGGCAGCAGUGGGGGAUAUUGCACAAUGGGGGAAACCCUGAUGCAGCGACGCCGCGUGAGUGAAGAAGUAAUUCGUUACGUAAAGCUCUAUCAGCAGGGAAGAAAAUGACGGUACCUGACUAAGAAGCCCCGGCUAACUACGUGCCAGCAGCCGCGGUAAUACGUAGGGGGCAAGCGUUAUCCGGAAUUACUGGGUGUAAAGGGAGCGCAGACGGCAGUGCAAGUCUGGAGUGAAAGCCCGCGGCUUAACCACGGGACUGCUCUGGAAACUGUGCAGCUAGAGUGCAGGAGAGGCAGGCGGAAUUCCUAGUGUAGCGGUGAAAUCCGUAGAUAUCUGGUGGAACAUCAGUGGCGAAGGCGACUAUCUGGCACAUAACUGACGCUGAGGAGCGAAAGCGUGGGUAGCAAACAGGAUUAGAUACCCGUGUA